AUGAAGAAAAAGGUGAUCACACACAAGACCUAUUAUAACCUUCAGCUGGUCCUGAGGAAAACUUCCAAGCAUCUUGUUACCUAAUCAAUAUGGACAACAGCUUGAUGAGGCAAGUGGACCUGGAUAUCCUGAUUCGCACUGCAAUUAUUUGAAGAUCAUCCCGCGA